GCGAAUCAGAAUGUCGCGGUGAAUACGUUCCCGGGCCUUGUACACACCGCCCGUCACACCAUGAGAGUCGAUAACACCCGAAGCCUGUGAGCUUAACCUUUUAGGAGGCAGCAGUCGAAGGUGGGGUUGAUGAUUGGGGUGAAGUCGUAACAAGGUAAC
rnacentral:rRNA from 1 species